GUCCUUUUGAAAUUGAUUUAAGGUCUAGCCUGCUCAAUGAAUUAUUAAAUAGCUGCAGUAUUUUGACUGUACAAAGGUAGCAUAAUCAUUAGCUUUUUAAUUGAAAGCUUGUAUGAAUGGCUGAAUGAGAAAAAAACUGUCUAUCUAUAAUUAAGUAGAAUUUUAUUUUUAAGUUAAAAAGCUUAAAUAAUAUUAAAAGACGAGAAGACCCUAUAGAGUUUAAUUAAAAUUUUAGUUUUAUUAAUUUGGUAAAUUAUAUUUAUAAUUAAGAUUUUUAAUUUGAUUGGGGUGAUUUUAAAAUUUAAAAAACUUUUAAAAUUUUUUAACAUAAAUUUAUGAUUAAAUGAUCCAUUUUUAAUGAUUAGUAGAUUAAAUUACCUUAGGGAUAACAGCGUAAUCUUUUUGGAGAGUUCUUAUUAAUAAAAAGGAUUGCGACCUCGAUGUUGGAUUAAAAUUAACUAUUGGUGCAGAAGCUAAUAAGUUGGGUCUGCUCGACCUUUAAAAUUUU
rnacentral:rRNA from 1 species